GAAAUGACUGCUAAUACCGCAUAAGACCACGGUACUGCAUGGUACAGUGGUAAAAACUCCGGUGGUAUGAGAUGGACCCGCGUCUGAUUAGCUAGUUGGUGGGGUAACGGCCUACCAAGGCGACGAUCAGUAGCCGACCUGAGAGGGUGACCGGCCACAUUGGGACUGAGACACGGCCCAAACUCCUACGGGAGGCAGCAGUGGGGAAUAUUGCACAAUGGGGGAAACCCUGAUGCAGCGACGCCGCGUGAAGGAUGAAGUAUUUCGGUAUGUAAACUUCUAUCAGCAGGGAAGAAAAUGACGGUACCUGACUAAGAAGCCCCGGCUAACUACGUGCCAGCAGCCGCGGUAAUACGUAGGGGGCAAGCGUUGUCCGGAAUUAUUGGGUUUAAAGGGUGCGUAGGCGGUUUGAUAAGUUAGGGGUGAAAUUUCGGGGCUCAACCCUGAACGUGCCUCUAAUACUGUUGAGCUAGAGAGUAGUUGCGGUAGGCGGAAUGUAUGGUGUAGCGGUGAAAUGCUUAGAGAUCAUACAGAACACCGAUUGCGAAGGCAGCUUACCAAACUAUAUCUGACGUUGAGGCACGAAAGCGUGGGGAGCAAACAGGAUUAGAUACCCUGGUAGUCCACGCAGUAAACGAUGAUAACUCGUUGUCGGCGAUACACAGUCGGUGACUAAGCGAAAGCGAUAAGUUAUCCACCUGGGGAGUACG
rnacentral:rRNA from 1 species